UGACAGGGUCUUACAGCGUUCCAAGGCCAGUGGUUUCUGGCUCCCGACAGGAAGCCUGCCAAGCGUUCCAUUGCCUCUGCUUCCUACCCAGCCCCUCCUGCCACCCAGAGGAAGGAUGUCUUGUGCCUUUUGUUCUUUGAGAAGUUGCAGACGAUAACCUCUGGGGAGCCCCCGCAGGCCUUGCCGCUCUCCGUCUGUGACAGAAGAGAGCAUUUCCUUCCACCAGACUCUAGAGUUCGGAGCAGUGUGCGUCAUUCGUCAAGUAUGUAACCUGGAGCAGCUGCUGAGGUGGUGGCACCAUCGGUGUGGGUCACUUCCUUUCUAACUGAUGACUGCCUGACUCAGACUCAGACUCAUGAGGGAAGGGAGGACAGAGCAGCCAUUUCCAUGGAAUCAACGCUCCCGGAAGCUGACCACAGUGUUAGUGAUGGCUCCAAGGGGCCAGUCUUCAUCACAGGUAUGUCUCGUGAGGAUGCCACGGCCAGAAGAAUUUUAUUUUAACAACUUUCAUAUUACAUAUGAAACUAAAUGUGCAUUGCUCUUUGGCA